CAACAGGGGUGCUGAGUAAUCGGCUGAGAUCAUACCCUAAAACCUGAUUCGGAUAAUGCCGACGUAGGAAGCUUGGAAAC
rnacentral:ncRNA from 1 species